AACGAACGCUGGCGGCAUGCCUAACACAUGCAAGUCGAACGAGACCUUCGGGUCUAGUGGCGCACGGGUGCGUAACGCGUGGGAAUCUGCCCUUAGGUUCGGAAUAACUUCGGGAAACUGAAGCUAAUACCGGAUGAUGACGUAAGUCCAAGGAUUUAUCGCCUAAGGAUGAGCCCGCGUUGGAUUAGCUAGUUGGUGAGGUAAAGGCUCACCAAGGCGACGAUCCAUAGCUGGUCUGAGAGGAUGAUCAGCCACACUGGGACUGAGACACGGCCCAGACUCCUACGGGAGGCAGCAGUGGGGAAUAUUGGGACAAAUAGGGCGGAAAAGCCUGAUCCAGCAAUGCCGCGUGAGUGAUGAGGGCCGUUAGGGUUGGUAAAGCUCUUUUACCCG
rnacentral:rRNA from 1 species